GUUGCCUGCAAAAGAGGAACUGGGGACUUGACUAAUUCAAACUGCUUCCAUUCAAGUGUUCCAGACAGCACAUACACAUCUAAACUGAGACUUCUCUGCUCUUUGGAGGUUAUAAGGAGCCAGCAUUUGAAACAGCACUCUGAAGCCAUAUUCCAGAGAUGUUCUGAACAAGUUGCCUCUCGGUGCAAGCUCCAGAAGGGAUACUUAAAUGGCCAAUCCCAUUCAUACUGUAAGGAAAAUAAAUCUGUUGAAGAAUCUUAAGAGCCAAAUCUUCUGAGCCUAGGCCUACUGCUGUCAGCAUCUCUGACACCUCCGCCAUCUGAGAAUUACCAGGUCUGACAACACUUUCCCUCGAGCCUACAGUGAGGGACGUCAACAAAGUUGUAGAACACUCACGUCCUCUAGACUUACAACCCUCAAGCUGUGCAGCUGGGCAGGAACCUUAUAAUCUCCAUCCUUAGGGAAGAUUCAGAAAGACAGACAAGAGGGGUGAAAACUCAGAUAUGCUGAGUCUGAAAUAUACAAAAACCUUUAGAAAGCCUCCUCAUAGAAGAACAUGAUUAAGUCCACAUAAUUAGUCCACACGUCUAGAUGAGCUGUAGGUAAAACAGAGCCUUUUCUCCGUCUACCAGAGUAAUAGUCUGAUCUAAUAUUCUAAGAAAUUCUUGUCCCUAUACCAAUAUUAUAAAGCAGUUUCACCAUAUUUAUUUUUAUCAGUAUAAGAGUAGGAGUGUAGAAAAUAAAGCUUUAUUUUUAUAGCUUCAGAUUGAUUAAGAAAUUCUGAUAAAAGUUGUUGGGGGUGGGGGGUGCUUGCUGUGCUGGAGAACAGAGAAGGUGUGGCAAUAGCCAAAUUAGAACAUCACCAUUUUCUUGCUUGUGCACUGCUGACUUAGGUCUGAAAGUGUUGGUUUGUAUCAGAUUGUUAGAACACCCCCAAUAUAUUCAUAGACAGUCUAAGUAACUGUGGAAUGCCUCAAGGGCAAUAGAAAUCCAAUAGAAACAGGUACCAACUCAAGUCUUGAGUGAUGACGGAGGUGCAUUUUAAGUACCAUGGAAAUCUCACUGGGCGGGCCCAUUUUCCCACUCUGGCAACAGAGGUUGACACCACUUCAGAUAAGUACUCUAACCUGUACAUGUAUGUGGGCUUAUUCCUGAGCCUCCUGGCCAUUCUCCUCAUCCUGCUCUUCACAAUGCUCCUUCGGCUCAAACAUGUCAUCUCGCCUAUCACCUCUGAGAGCACGGAAAGUGUUCCACAAUUCACAGAUGUAGAGAUGCAGAGUCGAAUCCCUACUCCUUAAAGCCAGGAUGAAGGUGAGCUUUAGCAGAUCUUAGUGAACCUUUGCUGAUGUUCAGGAAAGCUUGGUUCACUUUCUUGCACAAAGCUUCCCAUGCAAGGAAUCAACAAAUUGUUCAUUUAACAACAAACUGUUCAUGUUUUCUUUGUGUUAUUCUUCAUCUUGACUCUGCUUGUGGGAUAUCUAAGAGGUUUAAGACUCAUUCAUCAGAAGGAAUAUAGGAAAUGGCAGCUGGUUGGGACGGCAGGUUUCCAUGGUAACCAAAUUGAGCCUGGGCCUUGAACAAACCUCAGACCACAGAAAUUCAUAUGCAGCUGUUAUAAAAAACGCAGGAUCCCUGAAAGCUCCAAAAAUAAACAAGGAGAAUUUGCCUUCGAAAGGGCUGAUUGUUCCAAGAGGGUACCCCAAUAUGAGGACAAAUUUUAAUUUAGCACUUCAACUCUAAAGAAUCACCUCUACUGACAUGAAGCUAAAUCAUGUCAGAGGUUAAUAGAAGGGACCACUAACCCUUUCCCAAGGAAACGAUGAUUUGAUUAGGCCAUGGGGUUUGUCCUAAAUGAAAGAAGAGGUUUAAAGAAACUGUUUCAGUUUAAAGAGCAAAUUUGCAGAAAGAAGUUUCUAGUGAACGAACUCAUCUAGAGAGGAAAAAUGUGCAUAUUAUAUCUGUUAUUACUACUACUGGACUUUUUAAAAUUCCAAUAGUGGCAGAUGUAUUACAAAAAUCUGGAAUGAUGAGCUGGCCCCAAAUCAAGGAAAAAUUAAGUCAAAAUGUUCUCAUGAUAAUGAAGGCUACAUCAUACAUGCAGCUUCUUUGCCUUUUUCUUCCACCCCAUCAUGCUCCAGGAUUGAGUUGCAUAUAAAUCUGAGCUUUGCUUAAAGGUGGCCUUGGCAAAGAAGACUCAACUGUCCUUUAAAGCAGAAGUGACAUGAUCUUGGUGUUCUGUUAUUGAAUGAUUGUGGCUUUGGACAAAAUAUUCAAGACUUCUGGGUUCCAGGUUUUUCUUGUUGAAUAGAGAGCUAUUUAGUCAUCACUAGACUCUUUUUAGAUCUGAGUAUAGGAAAAAUGAAGAGAAGCAAAGGAGGAAAGGACUAAACAGCACCAUCCAACAAAUCCUUAUUGAGAUCAAUGUCCUCAAAUGUCACAUUUUUUCUUUUCCAGAAAAUGCCCCUCCCUUGCUAAUCCCUGCCAAAAAAUGAAGUGUUUCACUUAUUAUCUAUAAGAGAUAUAUUUUUAAAAAUUCCAUUCUCAUAAGUAGCCCUAAUAUGCCUGUAGUGAAAAGAGAAUUUGAUUUGUAAAAUUGACUUUCCAAAGGGGAACCAAAGGAGAUAAGUACCGUUUACAAAUUAGAAAUUAGAAAGCUGGCCAUAUUCUUGCCACCAAAGAACUAGUACACCUGUGUUAAAUGCUACCUGCUUAAAAAAAAAAUUAGCUCUCCCUUGCGCCUGAAAGAUGGUUAUCAAAUUUCACAGGAUACUCCCUCGGGAACUGCAGUGGUGGUAAGAGAGAAAUGGAAUGGAUGUUAGGUUAAUGCUGCCUCCACCAGACAUGUAGCUCUCUAUAGUCUGUAACCAAUUUAGAUUGGCCCCUUUACUCUGAUCUAAAUCUAGCUUGGUGGUGAAACUCCCAAGUGCUUUCCACUUUUAUACACAGUCAUUUGCCAAUGCUCCCCUCUCUAAGGGGCUGCAAAGUGUGAAAUCCCCACAUGAAGGGCUAAAUUUAGCAGCAAGACUGACUCUGACACACCUGUUACAACUGCACUGUCAGAGAUGGCAGCUGUAUUCUGCACCAUUUAGAACAAACUAGCAGAUAGGCUACGACUCAGUUAGGGCAUACAGUUCCCUUUUGCCUUUAUAUUUUCCAAAAUGCAAAGUGAUUCUUACAUUACUACCUCUUGGUGGUUUAAGUUGUGUCUUCAUUCAACACCCAGACUCCAUGGAUCCUUUAAAAUUUGAGCUCUCAGCAGCCAUUCGUGGACUUCAUCAAAGGUUGGCUAUACACUACAGAACUUCUUAAGGACACACAUGUCCCCUCACUCUGGGCUCUCCCUUUUGUGCCCACAGUAUUUGAAAGCACUUUUCAGUUGAGAAGUCAGUGGUUGGAUAAAUGAAGGAACUGAUUCCACUUUUCACAGCAAGAGGACCAGUUCCUCAUUGCUGAAUCUGUUGAAGACACAGACUGAAUCAAUUCCCUGCCCACCUGACCUCCUUGACCCAAGUUUCAGGAGAUUAAAACUGCCUUUUAAGCACCGACUUGGAUGAAGAUUCCUAAUUUAUGAUCAGGUUACUCACCUAGAAAACAACCACCCUCUUUCAUCACUACUACCCCAUGGGAUCCUGACCUUCACUGAGCAUUAAUCAAAGCACACAGCACAGAUUACACUAAAAUAGCUGCGUAACCCCUGACAAUUUCCAGUGAUAACUAAUAAACGGAGACAUAUUUAAGCGGAUGUGCCAUUAUGAUGGCUCACAUGGGAUUUAAUCUUUAGGAAAAUAAACUAACUGUUUUCAUCAUAGCAAACUUACUGUACAGAAAAGAAUUUUUCCAUUUAUGUUAAAUGAUAUCCCCCAAUUAUUAAUUAACAUGUAUUACUGCUCAAAGAGGCAGCCAAAAUAUUCAGCAGGUACAAUUUGAAUUUGCUCUUCUAUGCAAAUAUUGACUUGGCAAUUCCCUCCCCCAUGCCAAUACCCCCAAAAUUGCACAUUAGCCAGUAUAUCAACAGGUAAGUUAUUUAUAUAUAGAUUUACUCUGUUUUAAGACGAAAAGAAUGAUUCUUCACUUUUUAUUAUGCUGAACCAUAUGAAAUUGCUAUUUUUGUAGAUGAAAAAUGCACAAAUAUCAGCAAUUUCAUAUAACUCAAUCAAUACAAAGACUUUAAAUAGUAAACUCUCCUAAUACGUUUUAAAAUAAUUUAAUUUCUAAAAAAUGUACUUUGCAUACAUUUUACAAUUCUGGGUUGUAUAAAAACAAGGUAAAAAGGCUUAUGUAUUAUGUAUUAUGGAUUAGGCAGGAAAUAUUAAGGUUAAUCAAAUAAAGAUGGAUUCAUCCAGCCUAACCUUUCCAUCCAUGCCAAAUAUGAAGCUUUGGACUCAUAACUGAGUUUCACCUCUGCAGAUCCCACCAUACUUACUAAGUAGGUAUAAGGGUCUAUUUAAUGCAUUUAAAUGGUUAUAUUUAGUAAUACAUUUUAUUCACCUGCAUUUGUACAAAAGAAGAACUUUUUUUAAACAAAAUGAAGAAUUGCGUGGAAGAAACAAAUUGCGUUUCUUUUGUUUGAAAUCAUUAAUAUUUGAAAUAGAUUUAUAUUGUAUAAGAAUAGAAAUAUAAUAUUUGCAUUAAUAUUUAGCAUGUCAUUUUUUAUCCCUGGACAAUAAAUGCCGACUGUUUGGUUUGCCAAUAACAAAUAUCUAUUGUUUGAAGAAUGUAAAGAGCACGACAUUAGUUCCUUCCUCCCAAUAUAAAGUGUAACAAAUGUAAA